rnacentral:rRNA from 1 species
UACGGAGGGGGCUAGCGUUGUUCGGAAUUACUGGGCGUAAAGCGCACGUAGGCGGCUUUGCAAGUUAGAGGUGAAAGCCCGGGGCUCAACUCCGGAAUUGCCUUUAAAACUGCAUCGCUAGAAUUGUGGAGAGGUAAGUGGAAUUCCGAGUGUAGAGGUGAAAUUCGUAGAUAUCAGGAGGAACACCGGUGGCGAAGGCGGGUCUCUGGGCCGAUACUGACGCUGAGGAGCGAAAGCGUGGGGAGCGAACAGG